UUUUUUUCUAAAGUAUAUUAGAAAGUCAAAAAUAAAAGUUUGUAAACUUUGACCACCGGUAUAUUACAAACAUAUGAAAAAUCCAAAAUCCACCAUCAUUUUUUUAAAAAAUCCAACUUCUAAAAAAAAUCAUAAUCUAGAAGCAUGACUGUAAUAAGAAUCAAAAGCAAAAGAGUAAAAAGAAAUAAAGCCUCAAUUCUAGUGCAUAUUUGGAAUCAUGACGAGUGCAUAGUGUGCUGCUACUAUAAAAGGCUUUCCACUCAUAGAACCGGAGCCUAAAUUCCACUCUAUUAAUCUUUCUCCUCCUCUCAUUUCUGUCAGCAGAACAGGAAGAGAUAUUAGGGGGGAGAAUCUUCACCGUAUCAGGAAGAUGAGUCCAAAACUGGAAAAGGAUAGACAGCGAUCAUCGACGGUUCGUUUGGUUCCUUCCUUCCUUUGUUUCUAGCUAGAUCAAUCUGGAUUCCUCUGCGACGUAGAAUAAUUUAUCAAGUGGCAUUAGUUUUUCCCUUGAAAAAUUUGUACUUCAUAUACAUGUUUCAUGUUUUGUAACAGUAUGAACAUAUGGUUUUUAGCCCGUGAUAAGUAUAUACUUAUUUCAAGUAGAAUGUACUGUAAAAAUCCUCUAAAAAUUAUGUUUGUUUCACUAGUCAAUAUAAGGGAGAGUUUGGGGUUUGUCCCAUCACCAUAUAUUUUUUUAUUUUGUUGAAUAAAUUUAUGGAUGUGUAGAAACCAGAAGUAUAAAUUAUUUUUAUUAUCUAAAAAUUUAAUGCAUAAUUAUAUCCAGGAACAAGGAAGGGAGAAUGUGUGCAUGUACGUCCUUUAUGUAAUCGAGAAAAUCGCAAGCGAAUGAAAAGCUUUUGAGAAAACUAAAGAAAAGCAGAGGAUUUCUCUAAAGUGUCUGACCGAUAUAAAGCUACCAAAGUUCACAUUUGUCAACAUUUCAGGAAUUUCAGAGAUUCCGGUCCAGAGUUUCAAACAAGAUUUCAUCCUUGGAAACUGGAAGGAGGAUUGUGAUCGAAAUUACGCUGAAAAAUGAAAGGAUAGAUGCACCAUAUGUCAAAGAAGACAGGAGCUACCGAUCAUCGGAUCAGAGUAGCUAGUAUGAUCAAAGCGAGACGCCGGAUUCAGACAAGAUAUCACAACGGCCUCUCCGGCCGCCGGCCACCAUAAUGCCAUUGACGUCGAUCCCCAUCCAAUCAUAGAACCCACCGGCGGCGGCCGGUCUUCGCCGGAGUUCGCAGUGACAACUCGGCGAGGCUAGCUUUGCUUAGAACAGAAACACACAAGGUAGGAGAAAGGCGAACUACACUGUUCGUCGACAAGCAAUGGCAAUUUGGCAUCGCAUCAGCUGGGUCGCGUGGAGGAUUCGCCUUUAAGUUUACACAUACAUUGCACCGGAUCGUUGUUUAACACUUUAACUCCGUGAAAGUUACGCUUAUCUACCGGCUAAUCCCUCGGAUUAAUCGUGACCGCCAAGUUAAGGCGCCGCAACGCGCUGCAGUAAAGCACCGAUAUGUACUCCUCUAUUUUUGGCCAAACAUUUGCCUUUUUCAUCCAUAAAGUUGGGGGAAGCUUCCUUAAUUAAUUAAUUCGGUGAUUAAUUCGGUUUAUUUGUAAAUCUCAAGAUAUACGGGUCCAAUCUUCGAAGAUACUCACAGAAAUAGAGGUAAGAGUAUGAUGUGCGUGUGUUCAUAAGGGUAAGCGUACGUGCGUUUAUAUGAGCGUCUGUGUCUUUAUUGUGUUUCGAAAAAAAGGAAUUUAUUGUGUUUAUUAA